rnacentral:rRNA from 1 species
AAGGACGACAUUAGACGAAUCAUCUGGAAAGAUGAAUCAAAGAAGGUAAUAAUCCUGUAGUCGAAAAUGUUGUCUCUCUUGAGUGGAUCCUGAGUACGACGGAGCACGUGAAAUUCCGUCGGAAUCUGGGAGGACCAUCUCCUAAGGCUAAAUACUCUCUAGUGACCGAUAGUGAACCAGUACCGUGAGGGAAAGGUGAAAAGCACCCCGGAAGGGGAGUGAAAUAGAACCUGAAACCGUGUGCUUACAAGUAGUCAGAGCCCGUUAAUGGGUGAUGGCGUGCCUUUUGUAGAAUGAACCGGCGAGUUACGAUUUGAUGCAAGGUUAAGCAGUAAAUGUGGAGCCGUAGCGAAAGCGAGUCUGAAUAGGGCGUUUAGUAUUUGGUCGUAGACCCGAAACCAGGUGAUCUACCCUUGGUCAGGUUGAAGUUCAGGUAACACUGAAUGGAGGACCGAACCGACUUACGUUGAAAAGUGAGCGGAUGAACUGAGGGUAGCGGAGAAAUUCCAAUCGAACCUGGAGAUAGCUGGUUCUCUCCGAAAUAGCUUUAGGGCUAGCCUCAAGUGAUGAUUAUUGGAGGUAGAGCACUGUUUGGACGAGGGGCCCCUCUCGGGUUACCGAAUUCAGACAAACUCCGAAUGCCAAUUAAUUUAACUUGGGAGUCAGAACAUGGGUGAUAAGGUCCGUGUUCGAAAGGGAAACAGCCCAGACCACCAGCUAAGGUCCCAAAAUAUAUGUUAAGUGGAAAAGGAUGUGGCGUUGCCCAGACAACUAGGAUGUUGGCUUAGAAGCAGCCAUCAUUUAAAGAGUGCGUAAUAGCUCACUAGUCGAGUGACACUGCGCCGAAAAUGUACCGGGGCUAAACAUAUUACCGAAGCUGUGGAUUGUCCUUUGGACAAUGGUAGGAGAGCGUUCUAAGGGCGUUGAAGCAUGAUCGUAAGGACAUGUGGAGCGCUUAGAAGUGAGAAUGCCGGUGUGAGUAGCGAAAGACGGGUGAGAAUCCCGUCCACCGAUUGACUAAGGUUUCCAGAGGAAGGCUCGUCCGCUCUGGGUUAGUCGGGUCCUAAGCUGAGGCCGACAGGCGUAGGCGAUGGAUAACAGGUUGAUAUUCCUGUACCACCUAUAAUCGUUUUAAUCGAUGGGGGGACGCAGUAGGAUAGGCGAAGCGUGCGAUUGGAUUGCACGUCUAAGCAGUAAGGCUGAGUAUUAGGCAAAUCCGGUACUCGUUAAGGCUGAGC